rnacentral:rRNA from 1 species
UGGGGAAUCUUGGACAAUGGGCGAAAGCCUGAUCCAGCCAUGCCGCGUGAGUGACGAAGGCCUUAGGGUUGUAAAACUCUUUCGUCGGGGACGAUAAUGACGGUACCCGAAGAAGAAGCUCCGGCUAACUUCGUGCCAGCAGCCGCGGUAAUACGAAGGGAGCUAGCGUUGUUCGGAAUCACUGGGCGUAAAGCGCACGUAGGCGGAUAGUUAAGUCAGGGGUGAAAUCCUGGGGCUCAACCCCAGAACUGCCUUUGAUACUGGCUGUCUCGAGGUCGAGAGAGGUUGGUGGAAUUCCUAGUGUAGAGGUGAAAUUCGUAGAUAUUAGGAAGAACACCAGUGGCGAAGGCGGCUCACUGGCCCGAUACUGACGCUGAGGUGCGAAAGCGUGGGGAGCAAACAGGAUUAGAUACCCUUGUAGUCCCUGAGCGGGCUGGCAAGGCGCAU